AUAUACAUUUACAACUUUCAGCGGUGGAUGUCUAGGUUCCCACAACGAUGAAGAACGCAGCGAAAUGCGAUACGUAAUGCGAAUUGCAAGACCUCGUGAAUCAUUAAGAUUUUGAACGCACAUUGCGCUUUCGGGAUUUUCCCGGUAGCAUGCUUGUCUGAGUGUCUGCGGAUCCCCCUCAGCGGUGGUUUUGUUUUGUGUCCUACCUCCUUCGGUGUGACGCGUUACAUGCUGUCGGCUGGAUUGGUUAUGGCCUUGUGACAGUUUUGGUUGGUUCUGACUUUGAACCGACCGGAAGUGUGGCUUGGCUGGAAUGUAAGUUCUGCUUAAGCACAGAUAGGACUUGACGCUGGUCGUAUGGACAAGGUUGGUGUUGCCGUCAAGGGUCGACGCUGCCGUAUGGUCCUGUCUUAUCUCUGGUAACGACGUCUAGUUGUUGGCUUUGAGUUUUGACUUGGGACUGUUCGACAGUGUAUGUUAUGACCUGGUGAUGCCAAGCACAUGUCGAAAACGACGUCAGCGGAAGGCAAGGACAAACUGAUAAUCAUUGACAUAAAGAUGAUUUUUUGUUUGUAGUUGCGACCCAUUCCGGAUCUCAGAUCAAGCAAGAGGACCCGCCGAAUUUAAGCAUAUAAUUAAGCGGAGGAAAAGAAACUAACCAGGAUUCCCUCAGUAAGGGCGACUGAAGCGGGAAGAGCUCAGGAUGUGAAUCUGUGCUGCCUUUUGGCUGGCACCGAAUUGUGGUCUGUAGACUGUGACGUUAUCCUUGCGGGCCAAGUUCGUUGGAAAACGGCAGCAGAGAGGGUGACACUCCCGUCCGCCCGUUGGAAUGAGUCACACGUCGACGAGUCGAGUUGUUUGGGAUUGCAGCUCUAAUUGGGUGGUAAAUUCCAUCUAAAGCUAAAUAUUGGUGGGAGACCGAUAGCGUACAAGUACCGUGAGGGAAAGAUGCAAAGAACUUUGAAAAGAGAGUUAAAGAGUACCUGAAAUUGCUGAAACGGAAGCGAAGGAAACCAGUGCUUGGCUGUACCAUACUUCCCUUGCCACUUGUGGCCUGGGCGCUGUGGUGCUGCUGUCUGUCUGCCUUGGUUGUGUCCUGUGGAAGAGCGCCGUCGGAGUUGACGACGGUUGCUAGCAUUGGACGUGACCGAGCGCAGACGAAAUGGUUUUCUUUACCCCGUCUUGAAACACGGACCAAGGAGUCUAACAUAUGUGCGAGUACAGAGGUGUCAAACCUCGGUGCGCAAUGAAAGUGACAGUGGUUGGAUCUUUGCACAAUCCGCCGGCCUCAAUCCCUCGGGAGAACGGUCUGAGUGUGAGCAUACAUGUUGGGACCCGAAAGAUGGUGAACUAUGCCUGAAUAGGGUGAAGCCAGGGGAAACUCUGGUGGAGGCUCGUAGCGAUUCUGACGUGCAAAUCGAUCGUCAAAUUUGGGUAUCGUUUGGUCAGGGCUGCGCGCAACGUGCAUCCUCAGGAAGCACUAUUCUAAAUCUUAUUUCGAAAAAAUAAAAGUGCACCCUCAGUGUGCAGGUUUUCUCGCUAGUAGGAAAUUGUGUAGAUUUUAUGUAUGAUACAUACCCUGGCGGGACGUCCCCUCUUCCGAAUGAUCAUGUAGACAUUUUGCUUCCAGCCGUCUCUUACAAAGUAGUAUUAACAGAGAUUCAACUGUAGUGUUGGUGCCUUGUCAGUGUUCAUACUUCUGUCACGUUGUUUGCCUACGUCGAAUCGGAGGAAAAGGCUGCGUUUGAUCGUGUUGGCAAAGAUCGUCCCGAACUUAUUCUUGUCGAAGUUGUUGCAGCCGAUGCUCCUACUGACCCUGUUGUUUGUGUCAACGACGAUAGACUACCGGCACUAGGAGGUGGCAGUGUCCUUGAUCUUUUUGGCGGUGCACCGGAUACCAUUCUCCUCUAGUGGUCAAUACUCGAUUUCCUUUCGCGAUCUGUUGGAAUAGACCACUGAUUCUUCUUCCUUCCAAAGUAUGCUGCAUCACUCCGACACAAACCAAACAUACACUCAUCAUGAUAAUCCAUAUAACAACUCCUUCCUUUGACAGUCCCUUGGUCGACGUGCCCGUGUAGUGCGACGCUGCACAUACCACAACGAGUCCUCGUCUUCUCCCACAAACAAAACAGUUGUUUCUUGUGUUCGUCGUUUCUUUUGAAGCAAGAUGUUGUUUGUAUUUAGACAAGUCACCACAAAACCGACUCGUUACCGUCUUCUUCUUCUUCAUCAUCAUAGCAAACUGGUCAUCGUUUAACAUACUGGCCGUUGCUGUUGGCAUCGACUCUGUUGUGGCACGCCGUUUCCUAGCGUUCCUUUUUUCAAUCGACAUCUCCGUGACCUCUCGAAAGUUACGAUCUCCAGGGUAGAAUACGUUUGCAGGAGCGUAGGUUAACAUCUGUAUCGACAACUUGUCUUUGAACUCGUGGAACUUUAGUGGUCCUUUCGAUAGCUUCAGUCUUGUUGUGUCGUCAAGUUGAAAGAACUCGUGGCAUGGGGU